rnacentral:rRNA from 1 species
UGCCGUCGGAGAGCUUGCUCUUUGCCGACGAGCGGCGGACGGGUGCGUAACACGUAGGAAUCUGCCUGGUAGUGGGGGAUAGCCCGGAGAAAUCCGGAUUAAUACCGCAUACGCCCUACGGGGGAAAGGAGGGGACUCUUCGGAACCUUUCGCUAUCAGAUGAGCCUGCGUCGGAUUAGCUGGUUGGUGGGGUAAAGGCCUACCAAGGCGACGAUCCGUAGCUGGUCUGAGAGGAUGAUCAGCCACACUGGGACUGAGACACGGCCCAGACUCCUACGGGAGGCAGCAGUGGGGAAUAUUGCACAAUGGGCGAAAGCCUGAUGCAGCCAUGCCGCGUGUGUGAAGAAGGCCCUAGGGUUGUAAAGCACUUUCAGUGGGGAGGAAAGGUUGAAGGUUAAUACCCUUCAGCUGUGACGUUACCCACAGAAGAAGCACCGGCUAACUCCGUGCCAGCAGCCGCGGUAAUACGGAGGGUGCGAGCGUUAGUCGGAGUUACUGGGCGUAAAGCGUGCGUAGGCGGCUACCUAAGUUGGAUGUGAAAGCCCCGGGCUCAACCUGGGAACUGCAUCCAAAACUGGGUGGCUAGAGUACGGGAGAGGAGUGUGGAAUUUCCUGUGUAGCGGUGAAAUGCGUAGAUAUAGGAAGGAACA